rnacentral:lncRNA from 1 species
CUGGUUCUAUUAAUUUAGAGGUUCAGAAAGUAUACCCCCUAUGCAUAUCAUUUCAUUUCCCAGGAUCUUAUUCUCAACCAUAGGUAGCAAUAUUUUUUCUCGGGCCAUGCUUAUGAAUUUAAUCUGAUCGUAUUAGUCAUACUCAUUCAUCCAAAAUGUGUCACUAUCUGCUUACAUGUUGUUUUUACUACAGGGUUGAUGAUCUCUCUCUCCCUCUUGCUCUGUCUCUUUCUGUUUGCUCGCUGUGUUGGAGAUAAACAGAUGUUAUUUUAGUAAGCGUGUUAAAGGGGUGAAUGGCCAAGUUUUCAUUUUAUCCAAUAAAAAUGUAUCCUUGCCAGAUCGAUUGUUGUUGCUAGGAGACUGAAGCAUCCUCUGGCAAAGGCUGCACGCGCUCUGGUACAGAUGUAUUUGUUCCCUCUCUCUCUCUCUCUCUCUCGCACUCUCUCUCGCAGUAUGACUCCACUGAGGGAUCAGGAGUAAGAGAAACUCGCCUCAAGUGCUCAAAUAGCUGCAAGAUUUGCGCACUUCGCAUUAUAAAUAAGGUUACUCUGGGGAUGUAGCUAUGUAUCAUGACCCAGCAGCUCUUUGGCUUGUCUGUUUCUUGUCAGAAGGUCUGAUGUCCAGACUCUGUGCUCUUCCAUGUAUGGUCCAGUGGAACUCUCCUUGACCAUUAGAUGGACUACAAACAGUUCCAGCAGUUACUGCGACCGCACCUCACAACUCCCUUCCCUUGACCCUUGACCCCUUAGCUUUAAACCCUCACCCCUGACCCAUACUCUUAACCUCUUGCCCCUCACUCCUCCUAAUCCUUAACCUUACUCCCCCUCUCCCCUCCCUCCCUCCCUCCCUUCCUUCCUCUCAUCUCUUGUCCUCUCCCGUCCUGU